GACGUAGGGCGCGAGCGUUGUCCGGAUUUAUUGGGCGUAAAGAGCUCGUAGGCGGCUUGUCGCGUCGACUGUGAAAGCCCGCGGCUCAACCGCGGGUCUGCAGUCGAUACGGGCAGGCUAGAGUUCGGUGGGGGAGACUGGAAUUCCUGGUGUAGCGGUGAAAUGCGCAGAUAUCAGGAGGAACACCGAUGGCGAAGGCAGGUCGCUGGGACGGUAUUGACGCUAAGGCGCGAAAGCGUGGGGAGCAAACAGG
rnacentral:rRNA from 1 species